AAGCUCUUCCUUGAAUUACCUAUAUUGCAACAGCAGUACCAUCAAAAUUGUGCACGAUUCAGAGGUUCUUAAACAUGGCUGCCCAUCAGAAUCACCAUUGUGCCUUUUAGGAAACACAGAUUCUCAGACAUUCACAGUCUCUAAUGGCCCCGGAUUUUCUGGGCAGUGCACAGGUAAUGGUAUUUUUUAAAAACAUUUCCCCCAAGGGAGGAUUCUGAUCAGUUAGGUUUGGGAUCCACUUUUUAAAAAUAACAUGUUUCUCUGUGACGGAGGAAAUUUAACUAUGAUUCAUGAAUUUGUUAUCUGUUUUUUUCUUCAGAGGAUAUCAGUUUAAGUGUUGUUUUUUAAACUGUAACUCUGAAGGCAAACAACUGGCAAGAAAGAGUUUUCUGGAAGAAUGCUGGCUCUGGAAGGCACUGGAAGGUUCUGGAAAAGCAAGGCCUCUGAGUCUCCACUGUCAAAAUGUGGCUGAUCAGACUUGAGGCAUCCUUCACCUCACCCUCAGAUUAUGGAAGGAAGUACUGGACAUCGAACGACUCCUUCCCAGCCACGUGGAUCAUGAAUGAGCUAAAAUUUCAAUCUUUUGUUCUCCACCGGCCAUUUUUUCCCGAACCCUUUAGGAUAGCCAGAAAAAAAUAAAUAAAUCUCUUCUUGGGAA